rnacentral:rRNA from 1 species
GAGUUUGAUCCUGGCUCAGAACGAACGCUGGCGGCGUGCUUAACACAUGCAAGUCAGGGAGAAAGUCUCUUCGGGGAUGAUUAAACCGGCGCACGGGUGAGUAACACGUGAGUGACCUGCCUUUUAGACUGGAACAACUUACCGAAAGGUGAGCUAAUGCCGGAUGAGUUAUAUAAGUGCAUGUUUAUAUAGGAAAAGUUGGGGAGACCUGACGCUGAAAGAUGGACUCGCGUCCCAUUAGCUAGUUGGUAGGGUAAUGGCCUACCAAGGCGACGAUGGGUAGCCGGCCUGAGAGGGUGGCCGGCCACACUGGGACUGAGACACGGCCCAGACUCCUACGGGAGGCAGCAGUGGGGAAUUUUGCGCAAUGCUCGUAAGAGUGACGCAGCGACGCCGCGUGAAUGACGAAGGCCUUCGGGUCGUAAAGUUCUUUCGACAGGGAAGAAAAUGCCUAUAAGUAACUGUGUAUGUAUUGACGGUACCUGUAUAAGCAGCCCCGGCUAACUCCGUGCCAGCAGCCGCGGUAAUACGGA